rnacentral:misc_RNA from 1 species
UGGAUUGGCAGGAUUAAUUAG